rnacentral:lncRNA from 1 species
CAGACAUUAACAACUAUAGGUCACCGUACGGCCUUCAACAAUGAGCAUAACCCAUACAGCAUAGUCAGCUAUAAAAUGCCCCGAUAAGACAAUGUAAAACAAUUCAAACGAGAAAUCUAAUGGCCUUAUGUAUAUAAAAAAAUGAACAAUUUAUGCUUUGUAUAGGAAAUAAUAUAGAAAAACUUUAACAGACAAUACACAUACUGAUCUGAUUUUUUAUCCGCCAUAUUGGGAUGACCGUGAAUCGAAUUACGGUUAUCAGCUUUACCCCAGUGACGGUAACACAUCACGAGAGAAUCCUUACAUGUUUACCUGACUGUUAAAACAUCACCGA